GGAAAGGUGGCUCAGCAGUAGAGCGCUUGCUUUGCAUGCAUGAGGCCCUGGGUUCGAUUCCUCAGCCCCA
rnacentral:tRNA from 1 species